CCUACGGGAGGCAGCAGUGGGGAAUAUUGGGCAAUGGGCGCAAGCCUGACCCAGCAACGCCGCGUGAAGGAAGAAGGCUUUCGGGUUGUAAACUUCUUUUCUCAGGGACGAAGCAAGUGACGGUACCUGAGGAAUAAGCCACGGCUAACUACGUGCCAGCAGCCGCGGUAAUACGUAGGUGGCAAGCGUUAUCCGGAUUUACUGGGUGUAAAGGGCGUGUAGGCGGGAAAGCAAGUCAGAUGUGAAAACCAUGGGCUCAACCUGUGGCCUGCAUUUGAAACUGUUUUUCUUGAGUACUGGAGAGGCAGACGGAAUGCGUGGUGUAGCGGUGAAAUGCAUAGAUAUUAGGAAGAACACCAGUGGCGAAGGCAGCUUACUGGACUGUAACUGACGUUGAGGCUCGAAAGCGUGGGGAGCAAACAGGAUUAGAUACCCGAGUAGUC
rnacentral:rRNA from 1 species